rnacentral:rRNA from 1 species
ACGGAAGGCGCAGUGGGGAAUAUUGCACAAUGGGGGAAACCCUGAUGCAGCGACGCCGCGUGAGUGAAGAAGUAUCUCGGUAUGUAAAGCUCUAUCAGCAGGGAAGAAAAUGACGGUACCUGACUAAGAAGCCCCGGCUAACUACGUGCCAGCAGCCGCGGUAAUACGUAGGGGGCAAGCGUUAUCCGGAUUUACUGGGUGUAAAGGGAGCGCAGGCGGUUUUUUAAGUCUGAUGUGAAAGCCCGUGGCUCAACUGCGGGACUGCAUUGGAAACUGGAGAACUAGAGUGUCGGAGGGGCAAGUGGAAUUCCUAGUGUAGCGGUGAAAUGCGUAGAUAUUAGGAGGAACACCAGUGGCGAAGGCGGCUUGCUGGACGAUAACUGACGCUGAGGCUCGAAAGCGUGGGGAGCAAACAGGAUUAGAUACCCUGGUA